rnacentral:lncRNA from 1 species
GGCCCGGGUUGCACCCCGAGGGCUCCAGGGUUAGAGGCGACCAGGGCAGGGCCCUCCCAGGACAGGAGCCCAGCCUGGAGUCUGGCCGGGAGCCCAGCGGCCUGCUGUGACCGUGGCCCAGCCCUGCCCGCUGGUGUGCAGCAGGAGGUCCCCCAGAGCACCUCCCACUGGUGUGUGCGGGCACCUGAGGCCCCGGAGCAGCCUUGCCCUUCAGGUGCUGCUGUCUGAGGCAAGACGGCCCCCACCUGUGUCACGGCCUGGCCGCCUGGCCCUGCCCGUGGUCCUUCCCUGCCUGACAGCCUCGUCAUCGAGUGGCCAGCUUCACAGGUGAGAAGACCAAGGCCCCACUUGUUCACCUGAUGCAGGAGCUGGUCAGGGGCCCCGGGGCUGGGGUGCCUCUGGGUGGAGUCCACUCAGCCCCUGAGAGGUCCCCGGGAUCCCUGGAGCUCUCCGCGGCCCCUCCCUCCCCCCUCCUCAGCAGUGUGUUGGGAGACGCCGCCUGGCCAGCGGGAGUGUGGCGCUGACCUUGGGCAGGGCUGGUGGGGUAGAGACGCGGCCCCUGCCUGCCCCCAGGCACUCCCCUGACCUCCCCAGGUGGCCGCAGCCUCUCCGAGCCUCAGCUUCCCCACCUGCAACAUGGAGCGGCUAUGCAGCCUCUGAGCUGGGUGAGGUCAAAGUUGGCCCUGGAACCCGGGUCCCUUGGCUUCUUGCCCCAGGGCUGGAGUGGGAGCAGGACCCUGGCUGGCAUCAGCCCAGGGUGCCAGUGCUGGUGGGCUCACUCGUGUUCGCCAUCCCUCCUGGGACUCUUCAGACACCUGCUUAAACUAGGGGUCUCAACCCAUUCUGCAUCCAAGGAAAUGGGUCAGAGAGGGUGGUGGCUGCCUGGGAGUCACACAGCACAGAGUCAGCCGGGGGGUGGGGGUGGUCUCCAUGAGCCCUAUCCCUGCUCCCAGGCUGGGGACCUGUGUCCCCCAAACCGGGGGCAGGGUGCUGCUCCUGAGAAGCAACCACAGUGGGGGUUCCCUGUGAGCAGCCACUGCUGGGGACAGGCCCAUCCUAGGUUUGCAGCUGUCCCACUCUGUGCCUAUGGGGAGUUGAUCUCAGAGUCUCCAUCUCUGCAAAAUGGGCCUUUCUCGGGGACCCAGGAUGGGCUCUAAGGGUGCCUGGUCCUCGUGCCAGGAGCUCCUGAGUCUCAGGUGCCCCCUAUCAGUGGGUCAGCAUCGUUCACCUCGCGGUUGGAGAGGACGGCGGAGGCCCCACAGCAGGCAUGGCCAGGCAGAGCAGGGGGUGGGGUCUGUGUGGUUCAGUGCAACUCAGUGGAGGGGCACAGGGGCCACCUUUCUCCCCCCGACUGCUGACCACCCCCUCAGCAUCUCUGCACCUUCCCAGUCUCCUGGGCUUGCUUCUCGCCGGUUCCUCCUGGCAUCUGACCUCCAGCCCUCUGUCCUGGGUGCUGAGACCCACUCCAGCCCCGGUCUCCUUGGUACUUUCACACGAAGUCUGUGCCCAGAGCCAGACACUGGGAGCGGCGGGGAGGGGCCAGGCCAGGUGGCCUCGCUCCCCCUGCGAAGCUCCUCCUCUGGGGACAGGGACAGAGCCUGGGAGGACUCCACCCCAGCAAGGGUGCUCCUGGCCUCCGUGUGACGGGGGAAGCCAGCGCCCCAGGCCCAGCCUCCUCCCACCAGGCCGCGAGCACGUGCAGCCCAGCCCGUGCCCACGCCGUGCCCAGCACUGCACAGACUGACCUCGCGCCCCCUGCAGUCUUGAGGGAGGUCCCGGGAGGAAGUGAGGCCAGGGAGUGUAAAGGUCAGGCUGGCACCUAUCUUGGGGACAGGAGACGGGCACUGCAGGGCGGUUCUCCUGGGGAGAGCUGUCCCCGAGCCACGCUGGGCCUGGCGGUGCCCAUCUUCACGCUCAGGACACGGAGGUCUUCCCGGGGCUCCCCGCGAUGCCUCCCAGAACGUGACCUUGGCGAGUUCCCGCCUCCCUGGGCAGAGGCCGCAGCAGGAGUCCAGAGCUGCAGCUCCACCAGGCACCCGUGGGCCAGCCCUGCUGGGCAGCACCGGGGCCCUGGCCGGCUGGUGUCCUGGGGUGAGACCCUGGGUUAAGCCCAGGGUGUGGCCACAAGUGGGUCUGGGGCUCCCUCUCCCGUGGUACAGGUGGCCACUCACGGGCCAGGUAGGUAGCCCCCCAACAUUUGCGAGGUGCCCCGUGCGCACUCCCAGGGCCCAGGGCUGGAAUUCCUGAGCCCGGUGGGGAGCUGCGGGGCCAGGCCCCAGGACACCGUGCCCGUCAGGUCACUGCUGAUGGUUCCCGGGGCUGGGCCUGCUAAGCCACUGGGGAACAGGGCCUGCCGUCCAGGGCCAGGGGUGAGUGUCUACUCCCCACUCCAUCACGCGUGGGGCCUGCCUCCUCCCAGCCUGUGGGCCGGGCUCCACCCAGCCUCAGGAUCCCGAGGGGCUUCCGCCUCAGUUUCCCCUUCUGAGCCGCAGGCCCUCACCCAGCGCCACCCAACACGGGCAGCCUCCCCGGGGAGUGCCCUGCCUCCACUGUGCCGGCUCCAUGGCCGUCCCCCUCCCACUGCGGCUGAAGCCUGGUCCCCGCACUGUCUCCCGUCGGGCCUCUGGCGGGCGCAGGUUUCAGCUCCUGUGAUAACUCGGAAAGUUGAACUGGCCCCAUUACUGCCGCGAUGGUUGGCCAGAUACGGCCUCGAUAAUGGAGGAGAUAGGCUCCCGUGGCCAGCGCCCCGCCUCCGUCCAUUAGCAUUCCCCACCAGCGAUGGCCUAUCUCCUGCAUUUCCACUCCUCCCGCAGAUAAGAAUGGAAAUUCUGACUUCAUAGCUCACUGAUUAAAGUGUCUGGAUUUCUUGAUAAUACACAGAUAAAUUAUGUUUUUGAAAAAGAAGGUGGGGAGAAGGGGGGAGGACGG